AAGGGUGUCAGGAUGUCGUCUCCACCGUCCCUUCUACCAACUGCGGCUCUCAGAGUCCAAGGACUAAUUACAGCCGAUUGUAAUUUUGGUAAUGAAGACCAGCUUUAAUUGCCACUGCUUGGAGAGGCACAGUCUGCGUAAAGAAGAGGCUUAUCGUCUGGCUGCUCGUCUUUGAAGCUGGAAAACAAACCCGUGGCAAUGGGUCCUACAGCUUUCCCGCUGCUACUGGARAUUAAUGUAACUUUCCCGAAGGUUUAUCAGUCUGACAGGAAUAAAUGCCAGCUAAUGAGGUUCCUAAUGACCAUGUGACUAAUUGCCAUGUGAAUAAUUGCUGCUCUAUGCUGUAAAAGAACAGUCUUGRCGCUAGAUUUCCUCUUUGGUCCUUCUUAUUCUCAUUUUGAAUUUUGGAUUUUCUUGUUUAGAUGGAUCUUSUUAAGGACCCUUUCUUGUUCUUUAAAGAUCACGAUCUACUUCUAAGGCAUCUGGCAUCUCGUUUGCAGUUUAUCUAGUGAGCACAGAGC